UUUAAACAAGGCUGCAAUGUAGAGUUAUCUACUGGAACAUGAGCAAUUCACCAGUGUAACACCUGUGAAGACAAUGAUUCUCUACUUUCCACAGGCAUCAACUGCCAGUAUCUCAAGAGUCCAGGCCCCAAUGCUGACUCUCAGUCCAUGACGGAAUGUUGACAGGUCCACACUUGUGCAUGUCGUGCAAUGGCCACAACUGCAAUAACUUCCCACCUGCAACCUUAUCCAAAACAACUAACUUAGAAUGUUCUCUCAUCUUCCUGAGACUCAUAUGCCCUGAGAUCACCAAUGUUCUAGCUGGAAGGUAUGUCCCUAGUAUUUUGGUGGUUAAGAAAGCAUUCUAAGGACUGUGGGGUUUU